rnacentral:tRNA from 1 species
GCCCCGAUCGUCUAGCCCGGUCAAGGAUGCCACCCUCUCACGGUGGAAACACGGGUUCAAAUCCCGUUCGGGGCA